rnacentral:rRNA from 1 species
GACGAACGCUGGCGGCGUGCUUAACACAUGCAAGUCGAGCGGAAAGGCCCUUCGGGGUCCUCGCGCGUCUAACGGGUGGGUAACACGUUAGUAACUUGCCCUCGACUUUAGGAUAAUCCUCGGAAUCGGGGGCUAAUACCGGAUACUCCUUCUAAAUCGCAAGCUUUGGUUUGGAAAGUUUUUCGGCCUUAGAUGGACUCGUGGUCUAUCAGCUUGUUCGUGGGGUAAUGGCCUACCAAGGCGAGGACGGGUAGCCGGCCUGAGAGGGCGACCGGCCACACUGGGACUGAGACACGGCCCAGACUCCUACGGGAGGCAGCAGUGGGGAAUAUUGCACAAUGGGCGGAAGCCUGAUGCAGCGACGCCGCGUGAGGGAUGACGGCCUUCGGGUUGUAAACCUCUUUCAGCAGGGACGAAGCGUAAGUGACGGUACCUGCAGAAGAAGCGCCGGCCAACUACGUG